CUGCUUGCAGCCGAAACCGUCCGCUCAUUCCGUGCACUGUACAUAUAUAAGGAGCACGGAGCCCGGGACUCUCUCCUCACAUGCAUUUGGAAGUAAAAGACGCCCCUCCGCGCACCUGUUCUCGCUCGUCCGUCGGAGCUCCUUCCUCUUCCUCCAUGCGAGUGUGUGCGGACGUGCACUUCCUCUCCUCGCUCGAUUAGACGCGGCGUGCUGGUUUUUUCCCCCCCUUUUUUUUUUUUUCUCUUUUUUUUUUUAAAAAACAAGAGUAUGACUUCGUCUUACAACCUGGAUUUCAUGCCCCUGACCGAGAGUCGGCUAAUGGCGUCAAGCGACACAAUCAACGGCAGCAAGAUGAAUGGGUCUUUGGAAAACUUGGAUCAGCCAGACCCAGACUCCAUCAAGAUGUUUGUGGGUCAGAUCCCUCGCUCCUGGUCAGAAACAGAACUCAAAGAGCUUUUUGAACCUUUUGGAGCUGUGCACCAGAUCAACAUCCUCCGCGAUCGCACCCAGAACCCCCCUCAGAGCAAAGGAUGCUGUUUUGUAACUUUUUAUACAAGAAAAGCUGCCCUGGAUGCCCAGAAUGCCCUACACAACAUAAAGACCUUAAGUGGGAUGCAUCAUCCUAUCCAGAUGAAACCCGCUGACAGUGAGAAAACAAGUGCGGUAGAAGACAGAAAACUCUUCAUCGGGAUGGUUUCAAAGAAAUACGGCGAGAACGAGGUCAGGAUGAUGUUCUCGUCUUUCGGGCAGAUCGAGGAGUGCCGAAUCCUGCGGGGACCGGACGGUCAAAGCAGAGGCUGUGCGUUUGUCACAUUUGCUACCAGGUCAAUGGCACAGAAUGCAAUCAAAACCAUGCAUCACUCUCAGACUAUGGAGGGCUGCUCCUCACCUCUGGUGGCGAAGUUUGCUGACACGCAGCGGGACAAGGAGCAACGCCGCCUGCAGCAGCAACUUGUGCAGCAGAUCCAGCAGCUCAACAGCGCCUCCACCUGGGGCAACCUUGCUGGCUUGGGCACCCUCACGCCUCAGUACCUAGCUCUGCUGCAGCAGGCCGCCUCGACAAGCAACCAGAGCACUUUCAAUAGUAUGCAGAGGCUAGGAGGGGUGAAUCAGCUUCAGCUUCAGAACCUGGCCACAUUGGCCGCUGCGGCCGCCGCAGCCCAGAAUACUGGCAGCCCGACCUCUGCCAGCGGGUUGACAGCCAGCAGCAGCGCCCUGGGAGCUUUGGCCUGUCAAGCCGGUUCGACAGCAGGCUCCAGCGCCGGUGCCAUGAACACGCUGGCAUCUCUGGGCACUCUGCAGGGUCUCACCGGGGCCUCUGUCGGCCUCAACAGCCUUAACGCUCUCACCAGCGGCGUCGGUGGAAUGGGGGCCAUGAACGGAGGCCUGGGCGCCUCGAUGGCUAACGGCUCAGCAGCCAGUUCCAUGGACGCGCUGACCCAGGCCUACUCAGGGAUGCAGCAGUACACGGCCUCGGCCCUGCCCUCCCUCUAUGGACAGUCACUUCUGCAGCAGAGCAUCGCUGGAAGCCAGAAGGAAGUGGGGCCAGAGGGUGCCAACCUUUUCAUCUACCACCUGCCGCAGGAGUUUGGGGACCAGGACCUUCUGCAGAUGUUCAUGCCCUUUGGGAACGUGGUGUCUGCCAAAGUGUUCAUCGACAAACAGACCAAUCUGAGCAAGUGCUUUGGGUUCGUCAGCUACGACAAUCCCGUGUCUGCGCAGGCUGCCAUCCAGGCCAUGAACGGCUUCCAGAUCGGAAUGAAGCGGCUGAAGGUUCAGCUGAAGCGUUCCAAGAACGACAGCAAGCCCUACUGAUCCGAGUCCCGAUCCCCUUCCCCCCUACCCCUCCUUCCCACUUCCUCCCCAGCUCUAAUGCUAGCAAUGCUAGGAACAAAUCUCCAUGCCUGUUUGCUCAUCAUUAGCCUAGCAUGUCUUCAUGGUGUUGACAGCCAAGCCACACUCUCCUGGCCUCAUCAUCACCACCAUUGUGUCUGUGAUGUCUCUCUAAGCUCCCCCCCCCCAACCCCCACCCCCCCAAAAAAACCACUUUUGACCAAUACCUGGCCACCCACUGAUCUUUGACCUUAGCUCAACCUGGCAAUUUUUUUUUUCCUGCAUGCGUGUUCAUUGUUUUUUGUCGAAAUGUGACAGUUGGGAGAGAGGUCAAGCGGAUUUAAUGUGAAAACGUACCUACGUUCAACUUUUGUUUUAAAAAAAAAAAAAAAAAACGAGAAAAAAAAAAACAACCUGUGGGAUUUCUUAUUUUAAACGUGGUUUGCUUUUUGAAUUUGAUGCUUUUGUUUUCUCUUUUAAGUUACCUCUCUCAGUAUGGCUGACUUGAAAUACAGGGAUUGGCACACGGCUGUGCUCUUUGGUGCCAUUAGCAAUAUGUUUGGUGGCUUCAAAACGCUUCAAAACCACUUUUGCAACACUUUACAAAGUCCUUCUCGGCGCUCUUGAACGAGCUCUUUUUUUUUGUGGCGGGAAAAUGUUUCAUUAAGGCUAUUUAAACCUAGUUUUUCAUUUACUCUUCAGUGUAUUUUUUUUUUUAAACUACCAAUGGCACAACAAUAGGUACAUUUGCUCAGUUUAGAGAAAUGACUACCUACACGAGUCAAACUUUUUUAGAACUGAUUCACAAAUAGACAAUCUGUGGUUUAAAUGCACACUUAGAUUACCUAUAUUUUAUACCAUUGAAUCUAUAGAGGUCUAACUAACAGAACCCAGGCAAAAAAAAAAAACGUUGGGUUUCUUUUUGUAGAUUUAUGUUGUAAUGUCAUCUGUGUCGCGUAGUCAAGGGGCGGGGGGGCGGUAGUAGUACCGUACUCUUCAGUAUAUUGCAUUUUUAGAGGACUAAAAAAAAAGUCAUUUCUACUAAAUUAAAACCACACUUGAAGUUUCAAAAAAUCUACACGAAUUAUAAAAUUUCAAAAGAAUGGUACUUUUUUUUUUUAGUUUCUUUUAAAUUCACUGUUUGAAUGCCUGGUGUUAUUUACAAUGUUUAUCACGCCAGACAAUGUCUUUUGUUUCUUUUUAUUCUCAAAAGUGCCCAUGUGUCAAUUUUUUUUUUUUUUUGAGGGGCGGGGGGAGUUGUUCAAAACGUCUUUUCUGACAUGUCACUUUUCUUUACACACUUUCUGUGGGAGCCCCUGAAGAAGAGAUCACUUUUUUUUUGUUGGGUUUUCUAACCGGCGACUCGAUCCCUCACGGCGGUGUUGGUUUACAAGUACAUUCCACUUUUUUCAGCAGCACAAAAGUUUACACUUGCAAAAAAAAAAAAAAAAAGGGGUGAAUUUUCUAUUUUUUUGUUUUUUUUUUAGUUUGAGACGCCCUGUGACAAAAUCAAACCACCCUCCUGAAAAGAUUGACUGCGCUCAGGGUUUUUUUUGUCCUUUUUUGUGUGUGUGGGGGAAAACAAAUGUACAGCUUUCACUUUUGUUUUAUUGUAUCAUCUUGUCUGCGAAGGUCCCCAAGAGCAGGGGUGUCCAAACUAAAUAUUGUCCCUCUGCAUCUUGUAAAAACAAAGAUAUUCGGUAUAUUUACUCUAUACUCGUUUUGUUUUGUCAACACAAAGUUGAGAUGUUUUCCUGCCAUAGGCUGACAUCUUCAAUGUACACUUUUUCUACAUACAGGCCCUCGGUUGGAAAAGGUUGGAUGCUCCUGCCCCUAAAAUGAAAAUGAACAAAAAUGCCAACACAUUUAGGGAGGAAAAGUGCACUAAUAUUGUUGUAAAAGAGCGUCGAGCACAUUUGUGGGUAGUGUGUAUGUGUGUUCAAAAUAUCCCCCAAUUUUUAUUUUUUUUAAUGGGCAUGUGCUUUUUACGGUGUUUUUUCUAUCUAAAUGCAAUACAGUAAUAAUAAUGAAAGUGCCAUAUACACGUCUAGAAAACUGCCUACACAUCCUUAUUAGGCCUUGGUUAGAUUGCUGCACCUCGCCUUUUGUGUCACCUGCUUUACACUUCGCCCCCCUCUGCUGUGUUACUGCGUAUUGCGACCUUAAAACUAUAUAUAUAUAUGUGUAUAUAUAUAUAUAUAUAUAUAUGUAUGUAUGUAUGUAUAUGUGUAUACGUAUACGCGUGUGUAUACGCGUGUAUGUGUAUACGUAUAUGCCUGUAUGCAUGUGUAUAUAACACAUAUAUGCGUAUGCGUGUAUGUGUUUACGUGUAUGCGUGUGUGUGUAUACGCGUGUAUGUGUAUACGUGUAUGUGUGUAUACGCGUGUGUGUAUACGUAUACGCGUGUGUAUAUGUGUAUACGUAUAUGUGUAUACGUAUGUGUGUAUACGCGUGUAUGUGUAUACGCGUGUAUACACGUGUAUACGUAUACGCGUGUAUGCGUGUGUAUACGUAUACGUAUACGUGUGUAUAUAUGUAUACGCGCGUAUGUGUAUAUACGUGUAUGUGUAUGCGUGUGUAUACGUAUACGUGUGUGUAUAUAUGUAUACGCGCGUAUGUGUAUAUACAUGUAUGUAUACGCGUGUGUGUAUAUGUGUAUGCGUGUGUAUAUACGUAUACGCGUGUAUGUGUGUAUAUAUAUGUGUAUGCGUGUAUAUACGUAUAUGUGUGUGUAUGCUUAUACGCGUGUAUAUGCGUGUGUAUAUGUAUAUGCGUGUGUAUAUGUAUAUGCGUGUGUAUAUGUAUACGCGUGUAUGCGUGUGUAUAUAUGUAUACGCAUAUGCGUGUAUACGCGUGUGUAUAUGUAUAUGCGUGUGUAUAUGUAUACGCGUGUAUGCGUGUGUAUAUAUGUAUAUGCGUGUGUAUAUAUGUAUAUGCGUGUGUAUAUAUGUAUACGCGUAUACGCAUACGUAUAUGCGUGUGUAUACGAAUGCAUUCCUGUGUAUGCAUACAAGUGUAUACGCAUGUAUACAUUACACGUAUCUGCAUAUACGGUACACGUAUACGCUUAAAUAUGUAUACACACACACGUUUAUAUAUAUAUAUGUGUGUGUGUGUGUGUAUAUAUAUAUACACACACACAUUGCACUUAUCCAUAUACACACAUAUACGCACACAUCCAUGUACACGUAUGUGUGUACGCGUAUAUGCACGCGUGUAUAUGGAUACGUGUAAUGUAUACGUGCGUGCGUGUAUGUGUAUAUGGAUACGUGCAUCUAUACGUAUACACGUUUGUGUGUUUGUAUAUAUACGUAUAUAUAAACAUACAUGUGCGUGUAUGCAUAUUUACGUAUACAUAUUUGCGUGUGUGUGUGUGUGUAUAUAUAUAUAUAUAUAUAUAUAUAUCACUGCGGCACAAAUUAGUGGAUUUAUUUGGAGUUUAAGAACCAGUCUGGUUUUUUUUUUGUGUAGUGUUGCCAGUGGUAAAUUUAAUUAGGAAAAAAUAAAUAUAUAAAAUAAAAAAAAAUAAAAAAAGCACAAUGUACAGUAAAGUCCUCACUUCAGGGGCUUCCAUCACCAAAUUCCAGCUCCCAACAAUCACUCCUGUUCUAAAGUGCUUUUUUUUCCCGACAGUCUGGUGGCUUUGCAUCUUUAGAUAUUGUCUGUUCAAAUAAGACAUAAAAAUCUAUUAUUUCCUUGUCUGAUAUUUUUUGUUGGUCCCGAUGAAAGCCAAAGUGGGUGCACCUUGAUGUCUUCUUCUGUUCAUUUUGGAAGACGGGAUUUGAAACAGGAAGGAGAGAAAAGAAAAACAGGUUUCCCGCCCCCCCGAUUUCUACAACUGGUUGUUCAUAUUGUAUUUUGUACCAGUGACGCUUUUUAUAUUGGAGAAAUUAAAAGAAAGGAAAUCUAAAUUGUCUGGCCUCUCAAUGCGGCCUUGCCUUGACCAGGUCUUUGCUUUGGCCUCUUGUUUCUGUCAAGCUAUAUACAAUGACUAUUAUUUAGUGUAAAAUAACUAAACUCACUGGACGUGGUCCUCAGUUAAUCUGUGUUGGGGGAGGGGCUCGGGGAUCCUCAAAAAGUGGUGGUAAGUUCCAUGUCAGUGCUUGUGCCGUCAUCUGGGUUUUUUGACGUGUGGAUAAUUGUCUUAGUAUGAGAGUCAUUUAGUUUGAGCCUUGCUUUUAUUUUGUUUUUUAAGAAAUUUGUGUAGAAUUUUCUUUUUGUUUUUUCCUCCCCCCCUCAUAGCAGAGUGUGUAGACAAAAGACUCUGUUCUUCUUUUGGUCGGUGUUUGUUCAUAUGUGGUGUGUUUCUUUGCCUCUGUCUCCAAAUUAAACCAUUUCCCCUAAUAUGGA